GAUGAACGCUAGCGGCAGGCCUAACACAUGCAAGUCGAGGGGUAACAGGGAAAAGCUUGCUUCUCUGCUGACGACCGGCGCACGGGUGCGUAACGCGUAUACAAUCUGCCUUUAAGCGGGGAAUAGCCCAUGGAAACGUGGAUUAAUACCCCAUAGUAUAUAGGAGUCACCUGACUUUUGUAUUAAACAUUUAUGGCAUAAAGAUGAGUAUGCGUCCUAUUAGUUAGUUGGUAAGGUAACGGCUUACCAAGACGGCGAUAGGUAGGGGUCCUGAGAGGGAGAUCCCCCACACUGGUACUGAGACACGGACCAG
rnacentral:rRNA from 1 species